UGUUAUCUCCUAAGGUGGUCUGGUUAAUCCAGAUGCACAACUCACAUUAAAGGGAGGAGGCUCAAAUGGGCAGAGAACAUUUUCAUAUUUAAAUUUUUCUUGUCUUUCCAUAAAAUAUGAAUUGUAUUUCAUCAAAUGAAGUUUAAAGAGAUGGGAAAAAAAUCUAUGGUGACAUAGAUUAGAACAUCAAUUAUAGAACAUCAAUUACCCUUGGAGGCAGUGCUCUGGAGACUUGUUGAUUUCCCUACCUGUGCACUCCUUGACCUUUGGAGAGGAGGUCGAUGUGCAGAAAUACCUUGGACCUAAUCCUGGAAGACAUGGUGCUUUCAAAAAAUACAUCCUUGAAGAGCUUGGUCUCUGUAUCAUCACUCUCCUAACUUGAGGAGGGCUGGACAGGCUUUGUUUCCUAAAAUCAGAUUUUCAUCUGAAUUAUGUUUGUUCCUCCACUUAUGUGAUAAUCAGCUUGCGAGACAGCAAGACUGCCUGAGAUGUUGCAUCGUUUUUGACUUGAAUAAAGGAAACAAUCACUGUGAA